GCAAGUAUAGUUUAAUUAAAACGUUAGUCUGUGAUCCUAAAAAUAGAAGUGAGACUCUUCUUACCUGCCGAGGGGAGGU
rnacentral:tRNA from 1 species